rnacentral:rRNA from 1 species
CCGUGCUGUAAACGAUGGAUACUAGGUGUAGGAGGUAUCGACCCCUUCUGUGCCGACGUUAACGCAUUAAGUAUCCCGCCUGGGGAGUACGAUCGCAAGGUUGAAACUCAAAGGAAUUGACGGGGGCCCGCACAAGCGGUGGAGCAUGUGGUUUAAUUCGAUGCAACGCGAAGAACCUUACCAGGUCUUGACAUCUGCGCAAGUAACAUGAAAAUGAUACGUGCCCUUCGGGGAGACGCAAGACAGGUGGUGCAUGGUUGU